AACACGUAGGGGACGAGCGUUGUCCGGAUUCAUUGGGCGUAAAACGCUUGUAGGUGGCUACGUCAAGUCGGACGUGAAAUCUCCCGGCUUAACUGGGAGGGGUCGCUCGAUACUGGCGAGCUCGAGGCAGGUAGGGGGAAGCGGAAUUCCCGGUGUAGUGGUGGAAUGCGUAGAUAUCGGGAGGAACACCAGUGGCGAAGGCGGCUUCCUGGACCUGUUCUGACACUGAGGAGCGAAAGCGUGGGGAGCGAUCC
rnacentral:rRNA from 1 species